rnacentral:rRNA from 1 species
UGGGGAAUUUUGGACAAUGGGCGAAAGCCUGAUCCAGCAAUGCCGCGUGUGUGAAGAAGGCCUUCGGGUUGUAAAGCACUUUUGUCCGGAAAGAAAUCCUUGGCUCUAAUACAGUCGGGGGAUGACGGUACCGGAAGAAUAAGCACCGGCUAACUACGUGCCAGCAGCCGCGGUAAUACGUAGGGUGCAAGCGUUAAUCGGAAUUACUGGGCGUAAAGCGUGCGCAGGCGGUUUGCUAAGACCGAUGUGAAAUCCCCGGGCUCAACCUGGGAACUGCAUUGGUGACUGGCAGGCUAGAGUAUGGCAGAGGGGGUAGAAUUCCACGUGUAGCAGUGAAAAUGCGUAGAGAUGUGGAGGAAUACCGAUGGCGAAGGCAGCCCCCUGGGCCAAAUACUGACGCUCAUGCACGAAAGCGUGGGGAGCAAAACAGGAUUAGAUACCCUGGUAGUCCACGCCCUAAAACGAUGUCAACUAGUUGUUGGGGAUUCAUUUCCUUAGUAACGUAGCUAACGCGUGAAGUUGACCGCCUGGGGAGUAACGGUCGCAAGAUUAAAACUCAAAGGAAUUG